rnacentral:rRNA from 1 species
UACGGAGGGUGCAAGCGUUAUCCGGAUUCACUGGGUUUAAAGGGUGCGUAGGUGGGCAGGUAAGUCAGUGGUGAAAUCCUGCAGCUUAACUACAGAACUGCCAUUGAUACUAUUUGUCUUGAAUACCCUGGAGGUGAGCGGAAUAUGUCAUGUAGCGGUGAAAUGCUUAGAUAUGACAUAGAACAUCUAUUGCGAAGGCAGCUCACUACGGGAAUAUUGACGCUGAGGCACGAAAGCGUGGGGAUCAAACAGG